AUGGACUGUAUGACUUUAGCAACUUGUGUGAUUUAUAGGUCUCAGUUUCCUCAUCUGAAAAUGAUGGACUUAAAUAUAUGUGAUUUCUCAGGAGACGCCAGAGCUCAGUCAGUGACACAGCCUGAUGUCCAUCUUGUGGUCUCUGAAGGAUCCUCUCUGGAGCUGAGGUGCAACUAUUCCUAUGGUGGAGCUCCUGAUCUCUUCUGGUACGUCCAGUACCCCAACCAAGGCCUCCAGUUUCUCCUCAAGUACUUUGGAGGGGACACCUUGGUUAAAGGCAUCAGAGAUUUUGAGGCUGAAUUUAGGAAAAGUGAAUCUUCCUUCAACCUGAGGAAAUCCUCAGCCCAUUGGAGUGACUCAGCUGUGUACUUCUGUGUUCUGAGUGACACAGUGCUGGAGACUGCAGGGGAGCUGAAUACAAACUGUGAGACACUAGAGAGGAUAACUUCUCUGAAAGAUUUUUGA